rnacentral:rRNA from 1 species
AUUGAACGCUGGCGGCAGGCCUAACACAUGCAAGUCGAGCGGAUGAAGCGAGCUUGCUCCUGGAUUCAGCGGCGGACGGUUGAGUCAUGCCUAGGAAUCUGCCUGGUAGUGGGGGAUCACGUCCUGAAACGGGCGCUAAUACCGCAUACGUCCUGAGGGAGAAAGUGGUGGAUCUUCGGACCUCACGCUAUCAGAUGAGCCUAGGUCGGAUUAGCUAGUUGGUGGGGUAAAGGCCUACCAAGGCGACGAUCCGUAACUGGUCUGAGAGGAUGAUCAGUCACACUGGAACUGAGACACGGUCCAGACUCCUACGGGAGGAAGCAGUGGGGAAUAUUGGACAAUGGGCGAAAGCCUGAUCCAGCCAUGCCGCGUGUGUGAAGAAGGUCUUCGGAUUGUAAAGCACUUUAAGUUGGGAGGAAGGGCAGUAAGUUAAUACCUUGCUGUUUUGACGUUACCAACAGAAUAAGCACCGGCUAACUUCGUG